rnacentral:rRNA from 1 species
AAAGAUUAAGCCACGCAUGUCUAAGUAUAAAUAACUUUAUAUUGUGAAACUGCGAAUGGCUCAUUAAAUCAGUUAUGAUCUACGUGACAAAUUCUUUACUACUUGGAUAACCGUGGUAAUUCUAGAGCUAAUACAUGCAAAAAAGCCCUGACUUACGAAGGGGUGCACUUAUUAGAUAAAACCAACGCGGGGUAAAACCUGUUUCUUGGUGAAUCAUAAUAAUUAAGCGGAUCGCAUGGCCUUGUGCCGGCGACGGUCCACUCGAUUUUCUGCCCUAUCAUGGUUGAGAUUGUAAGAUAGAGGCUUACAAUGCCUACAACGGGUAACGGGGAAUUAGGGUUCGAUUCCGGAGAGGGAGCCUGAGAAACGGCUACCACAUCCAAGGAAGGCAGCAGGCGCGCAAAUUACCCAAUCCCGACACGGGGAGGUAGUGACAAUACAUAACAAUGCAGGGCCUUUAAGGUCUUGCAAUUGGAAUGAGUACAAUUUAAAUCCCUUAACGAGGAUCAAUUGGAGGGCAAGUCUGGUGCCAGCAGCCGCGGUAAUUCCAGCUCCAAUAGCGUAUAUUAAAGUUGUUGCAGUUAAAACGUCCGUAGUCAAACUUUAGUCUUACCGGCGUAGUGGCCUGGUCUUCAUUGACCAAGCUCAUUGCUGCCGGAGACUCCACGUCCAUUGACUCCUAGUCCUCGUGGCUAGGGUUUUCUGGACAAUUACCAUGAGCAAAUCAGAGUGUUUAAAGCAGGCUUUUAAGCUUGAAUGUGUUAGCAUGGAAUAAUGAAAUAUGACUUUAGUCCUAUUUUCGUUGGUUUAGGUACUUCAGUAAUGAUGAAUAGAAACGGUUAGGGGCAUUUGUAUUUGGUCGCUAGAGGUGAAAUUCUUGGAUUGACCGAAGACAAACUACUGCGAAAGCAUUUGACCCGGGACGUUUUCAUUGAUCAAGGUCUAAAGUUAAGGGAUCGAAGACGAUUAGAUACCGUCGUAGUCUUAACCACAAACUAUGCCGACUAGAGAUUGGGCGUGUUUAUUAUGACUCGCUCAGCAUCUUAGCGAAAGUAAAGUUUUUGGGUUCUGGGGGGAGUAUGGGACGCAAGGCUGAAA